rnacentral:rRNA from 1 species
CCCUUUGGGGUGUGACUGCGUACCUUUUGUAUAAUGGGUCAGCGACUUAUAUUCUGUAGCAAGGUUAACCGUAUAGGGGAGCCGGAGGGAAACCGAGUCUUAACCGGGCGUUAAGUUGCAGGGUAUAGACCCGAAACCCGGUGAUCUAGCCAUGGGCAGGUUGAAGGUUGGGUAACACUAACUGGAGGACCGAACCGACUAAUGUUGAAAAAUUAGCGGAUGACCUGUGGCUGGGGGUGAAAGGCCAAUCAAACCGGGAGAUAGCUGGUUCUCCCCGAAAGCUAUUUAGGUAGCGCCUCGUGAACUCAUCUCCGGGGGUAGAGCACUGUUUCGGCUAGGGGGCCAUCCCGGCUUACCAACCCGAUGCAAACUGCGAAUACCGGAGAAUGUUAUCACGGGAGACACACGGCGGGUGCUAACGUCCGUCGUGAAGAGGGAAACAACCCAGACCGCCAGCUAAGGUCCCAAAGUCAUGGUUAAGUGGGAAACGAUGUGGGAAGGCCCAGACAGCCAGGAUGUUGGCUUAGAAGCAGCCAUCAUUUAAAGAAAGCGUAAUAGCUCACUGGUCGAGUCGGCCUGCGCGGAAGAUGUAACGGGGCUAAACCAUGCACCGAAGCUGCGGCAGCGAACGUAUCACUUAAAGCGAUUCAGCGGGUUACGAUUGACGGAGCGAAGCGACGUCAAAGCGUAUACAAAGUCGAGUCGGUUUAAGGAUACGUUCGUUGGGUAGGGGAGCGUUCUGUAAGCCUGUGAAGGUGGCCUGUGA